GGGGUGACUAGUGACAGAGUUAGGAAGGGGGUGACACAGUGACAGAGUGAGGGAGGGGGUGACUAGUGACAGAGUGAAGGAGGUGGUGACUGUCACUAGUCACCCCAUCCCUCCCUCUGUCACUAAUCACCACCUCCCUCACUCUGUCACUAGUCACCCCCUCCUUCUCUCUGUCACUAAUCACCACCUCCCACACUCUGUCACUAGUCACCCCCUCCCUCUCUCUGUCACUAGUCACACCCUCCCUCACUCUGUCACUAUUCACACCC